rnacentral:rRNA from 1 species
ACUCAAAGGAAUAGACGGGGGCCCGCACAAGCAGCGGAGCGUGUGGUUUAAUUCGAUGCAACGCGAAGAACCUUACCUGGGCUGGAACGCUCGUCGACCGUCGGUGAAAGCCGGCGUCCCUUCGGGGCGGCGGGCGAGGUGCUGCACGGCUGUCGUCAGCUCGUGCCGUGAGGUGUUGGGUUAAGUCCCGCAACGAGCGCAACCCCUGUCGCUAGUUGGACUUCUCUAGCGAGACUGCUGGGAGCAACCCAGAGGAAGGCGGGGAUGACGUCAAGUCAGCGUGGCCCUUACGUCCAGGGCGACACACACGCUACAAUGACCGGGACAGCGGGUCGCGACCCGGCGACGGGAAGCUAAUCCCUGAAACCCGGCCUCAGUUCAGAUUGCAGGCUGAAACCCGCCUGCAUGAAGGCGGAGUUGCUAGUAACCGCGGGUCAGCACACCGCGGUGAAUACGUUCCCGGGCCUUGUACACACCGCCCGU